rnacentral:snoRNA from 1 species
UAAAAAAUUUUCAGUUCAAGAUUGACAUUCCCCUUUGCUUCUUCUUCUUCUUCUUCUUCUUUCUUAUACAACGGGUUUUUCAAAUCGUUCGUUUCAAUCGCCUACAUCAGUCAUUAGCGUUAACAUUUAGAGCUCAAUGCAGAUUGGACGGAUGUAUUUGAUCUAUCUAGAUCAAUCCAAUUUCUCCUCUAGGGGGGAAAACCCAGCUUUAAAACCAUUGCGAUUGGAGGUCGCCGCUAGUGAAAAACUAGGUCAGGCUGAUCCAUGAAAUCGUGAUGACCUGAAGUCUGGGACAUUU